rnacentral:rRNA from 1 species
UACGUAGGCAGCGAGCGUUGUUCGGAGUUACUGGGCGUAAAGGGUGUGUAGGCGGUUUUCUAAGUUUGGUGUGAAAUCUCCCGGCUCAACCGGGAGGGUGCGCCGAAAACUGGGAGACUAGAGUGCGGGAUGGGAGAGUAGAAUUCCUGGUGUAGCGGUGAAAUGCGUAGAUAUCAGGAGGAAUACCGGUGGUGUAGACGGCUCUCUGGACCGCCACUGACGCUGAGACACGAAAGCGUGGGGUAGCAAACAGG